rnacentral:misc_RNA from 1 species
GAUGAAGAACGCAGCGAAAUGCGAUAAGUAAUGUGAAUUGCAGAAUUCAGUGAAUCAUCGAAUCUUUGAACGCACAUUGCGCCCCUUGGUAUUCCAAAGGGCAUGCCUGUUCGAGCGUCAUUUGUACCCUCAAGCUUUGCUUGGUGUUGGGCGUCUUGUCUCUAGCUUUGCUGGAGACUCGCCUUAAAGUAAUUGGCAGCCGGCCUACUGGUUUCGGAGCGCAGCACAAGUCGCACUCUCUAUCAGCAAAGGUCUAGCAUCCAUUAAGCCUUUUUUUCAACUUUUGACCUCGGAUCAGGUAGGGAUACCCGCUGAACUUAAGCAUAUCAAUAAGCGGAGGA